CCCAUCUUAUCCCUUUCUCCCACGCCACACUCCCACCUAAACCUAGGUCAUCUACCGCCGCCGCCGCUGCCCCUUACCUGCCUGCCGAUUUGCUCGCGCCGCCUCCUCUCCCAUCACCGGUGGCGCCUCCAGAAGCUUCCUUCUACCACGUCGUUCUUCCCCACGGUCCAAGCCCAACGUGCCGCCUCAUGUCUGCAGUAGUGGCGCCCCUCCUCCGCCCGCAGCAAGGAGUCAAGUCGGCCGCCGCAGAGGAGCCGCGCCACCAACCGCCUGCAUGGAGUCGACCGCCGCUGAGUAGCCCCGCCGUACUUCCUCAAGAUCUAGGCCGUUGUAGGUAAGAUUCAUGCCGAUGUGCUCACGGCUCUGCUUCUGUGACUACCGGCAGUGCCACCUGAAGGUUCGAUCCAACCUAGGGUGACGCCUUCCGCAACCGAGGAGCCACCCAGCCCUCUACAUCUAGAGGUUCCGCCCCACCAUCCCACUUCCAUCAUUGGCAAUGGCUCCCCUCUCCCCUUUCUGCUUAAUAGGUUAUUUCUCGUUUCUCCAUGAAUGUGAUUGCCCAUGAAUCUUGUUGGCUCAACGAUGAACUGAGCAAGAUGAUGUCAGUUCGUUUGAGAUUGGAGAUUUCAGAGUGCUAACCAUCCAUCACUCAUUUUAUAAUUAGGGUAAAUUAAGUUUUUAGUUGAUUUCAGGACAGAUUGAAGUAUAUAUAUUUUACUAACCGGUGUUACAUACUAUCUUAUUAUAUGUUUCUGUAAUUUUCGAGUCCUGUCUACAUUGUUUAUUCACUUAGCUAUGUUGCAACUCUUCAUUCUCAAUUAGUACCAUCAUGUUAUUAUAAUGUUGUUUCUGUUGUUGUUGAUUUGGGAUGUAUUCUGCAACAUGUUGUUUCAGAGAAUGGUUUCUAUAAGACUGCCCGACAAUUAGUAGAUUUGUGCGCCAUGCCUUGGCCUGGGUGUUUCGUGGAUUCAGCGAGAUGCAUUAUAUUUCACUUGCUCUUCCGUGGGUGACGUGCCUAUCUAGAAACAUGCUACUGGUUUUAGUUCAGGCUAGCUUCCUUCUCAUAAGUAGAACUUUGCAAUUGAUCUCAACUUUAAUGAGGUUUGACUAUUGCUGGGGAUGUUCUGAAGCUCAUGGACUCUAUGCUUGUAGCUGAGCUCAACCUCUCAGGCCUGUCUCUUAUCACAUUUAUAUCCAGCAUUCAAUCUCAGGGUUUCAGUAUUUACUAAUUACUACUACCUUUGAAAUGAUUGGGUCUCAGUCUUCCUAUUUCCCUUUGCAUGAAGAACCAGCAAGAUUAGCACUCUUGAUGCUAAGAAUUCACCUAAGAUGGCUGGAACACUACGCGGACCGGUUCGGCAUGCCAAGACUGGCAAGGGUGAUGUUGCGCUAGUUUCCUUCAUUUAGAAGAACAAUGACUUGUCUUCUGCUUUCCUACCAAGAACACAAAAUGCGCCACAUAUCACGAACUGGAUCCAGUCCCAAAGAAGUACAUGUCACUAGACUAAAAUGAGUGGUUCUCUCUACGACUAUACUAGGAAUUGUGAUUCAAUUACGUACUGAAAAGUAACAUGCAUCUAGUUAAUUGCAUUAUGCAUUAUAAGCACAUGAAUCAGAUGGCUGCGUAAUUAUAUUAGCAUACAGUGUUCUCUAUCAACAAUUAGAUCAGUAAUAGAAAAAAAGAGUGUUCAUUCAUUGUUUUCAGACAAAAUGUUUAUACCAUGGUUGGUAAUGGUAAGGUUCCUUUGUUACUUCUCAAAGCAACCACACCUUUUGUAGCUAAGUGUACUAAUCAACCGAGCCAAAGGUGAAUUUUAUACAAAUUAAUUAAUUGUUAGUAUGUGAAACCUAUAGCAGCUAAAUUCUGCUUAUGCUAAUAGUCAAUACGGCACUUUGAUAUUGAUGCUGCAUGCCUGCUGCCAAUUUGAUUCUGCAUUCAGUACUAUGUGAGUGAACUAAGAAAGUGUUAUUUCUUUUCAGGCUAGUAAAGCAUCAUUGUGCACUUCUGGAACAACUAUCAUGGAAGUAUGGAACUAAUGCUAGCAAAACUACCCUGUGUAGUCGCCUGAGGAAAAAGCUGAAUUUUAUUUCCCUGCCCAACAUUCUUUUGGAAUAUCCUUCGUGCCAUGUUUUUUCGAGCCAGACUACAUCCUGUUGGGCAGGGAAAUAAAAUUGUACGCCGACACACAGAUAAAGAUCUAGCCACAAAGAUAAGGGCAAAUGGCAGAAAAUAGCAUGGUUGACACCUUUUGUUCAUACAGAGGUUGAUGUUGGUUUGGUGAUUGAAGAGUUGGUCUCUUCCAUAAUAUUUUGUAGUGGUCAAGUGAUCAGACAUUUGGUCUGUUAGGAUCUUAGCCAUCAAAUUUUGCAACUUGUCUCUGUAUGUCAAUUUAUGUAUCUCCUUGAUGGUUGUAGCUAACUUGAGCGAAGAAAACAAAUGAAUCUUUAUAUAUGUUAAUGUAUGAUAUGGAUGAAUGACAUUUUUCUA